GCUCAGUCGGUAAAGUGUUCAACUCCUGAUUUCAGUUCAGGUCACCAUCCCAGGGUCGUGGGAUCAAGCCCCACAUUGGGCU
rnacentral:tRNA from 1 species